rnacentral:rRNA from 1 species
UACGUAGGUGGCAAGCGUUAUCCGGAAUUAUUGGGCGUAAAGAGCGCGCAGGUGGUUAAUUAAGUCUGAUGUGAAAGCCCACGGCUUAACCGUGGAGGGUCAUUGGAAACUGGUUGACUUGAGUGCAGAAGAGGGAAGUGGAAUUCCAUGUGUAGCGGUGAAAUGCGUAGAGAUAUGGUGGAACACCAGUGGCGAAGGCGGCUUCCUGGUCUGCAACUGACACUGAGGCGCGAAAGCGUGGGGAGCAAACAGG